GACACUUUACCAUAGUGGUUAAUGGGUGAGACUUGAAUUCUUUAAGCCAUCUCAUGACUUCGGUCGCGUAGGUUCGAAUCCUGCAAGUGUCG